AACGAACGCUGGCGGCAUGCCUAACACAUGCAAGUCGAACGAGACCUUCGGGUCUAGUGGCGCACGGGUGCGUAACGCGUGUGAACCUGCCCUUAGGUUCGGAAUAACUCCCCGAAAGGGGUGCUAAUACCGGAUAAUGUCUUCGGACCAAAGAUUUAUCGCCUUUGGAUGGGCCCGCGUUGGAUUAGCUAGUUGGUAGGGUAAAAGCCUACCAAGGCGACGAUCCAUAGCUGGUCUGAGAGGAUGAUCAGCCACACUGGGACUGAGACACGGCCCAGACUCCUACGGGAGGAAGCAGUGGGGAAUAUUGGACAAUGGGCGAAAGACUGAGCCAGAAAUGCCGCGUGAGUGAUGAAGGCCUUAGGGUUGUAAAGCUCUUUUACCCGGGAUGAUAAAGAAAGUACCGGGAGAAUAAGCUCCGGCUAACUCCGUG
rnacentral:rRNA from 1 species